rnacentral:rRNA from 1 species
UGCAGUCGAGGGGCAGCAUAAUGGAUAGCAAUAUCUAUGGUGGCGACCGGCGCACGGGUGCGUAACGCGUAUGCAACCUACCUUUAACAGGGGGAUAACACUGAGAAAUUGGUACUAAUACCCCAUAAUAUCAUAGAAGGCAUCUUUUAUGGUUGAAAAUUCCGAUGGUUAGAGAUGGGCAUGCGUUGUAUUAGCUAGUUGGUGGGGUAACGGCUCACCAAGGCGACGAUACAUAGGGGGACUGAGAGGUUAACCCCCCACACUGGUACUGAGACACGGACCAGACUCCUACGGGAGGCAGCAGUGAGGAAUAUUGGUCAAUGGACGCAAGUCUGAACCAGCCAUGCCGCGUGCAGGAUGACGGCUCUAUGAGUUGUAAACUGCUUUUGUACGAGGGUAAACGCAGAUACGUGUAUCUGUCUGAAAGUAUCGUACGAAUAAGGAUCGGCUAACUCCGUGCCAGCAGCCGCGGUAAUACGGAGGAUUCAAGCGUUAUCCGGAUUUAUUGGGUUUAAAGGGUGCGUAGGCGGUUUGAUAAGUUAGAGGUGAAAUUUCGGGGCUCAACCCUGAACGUGCCUCUAAUACUGUUGAGCUAGAGAGUAGUUGCGGUAGGCGGAAUGUAUGGUGUAGCGGUGAAAUGCUUAGAGAUCAUACAGAACACCGAUUGCGAAGGCAGCUUACCAAGCUAUAUCUGACGUUG